rnacentral:ncRNA from 1 species
GGCUGAGUUAGUGAUCGGCCAAGGGCGAAUGUUAAUAUAAUCUAUUGGAGAUUACAUAAUGUCACUAAGUACUGAAGCUAAGAAGCAGAUUGUUGCUGAAUAUGCACGU